rnacentral:rRNA from 1 species
UGGGGAAUUUUGGACAAUGGGCGAAAGCCUGAUCCAGCAAUGCCGCGUGUGUGAAGAAGGCCUUCGGGUUGUAAAGCACUUUUGUCCGGAAAGAAAUGGCUCUGGUUAAUACCUGGGGUCGAUGACGGUACCGGAAGAAUAAGGCCCGGCUAACUACGUGCCAGCAGCCGCGGUAAUACGUAGGGUCCAAGCGUUAAUCGGAAUUACUGGGCGUAAAGCGUGCGCAGGCGGUUGUGCAAGACCGAUGUGAAAUCCCCGAGCUUAACUUGGGAAUUGCAUUGGUGACUGCACGGCUAGAGUGUGUCAGAGGGGGGUAGAAUUCCACGUGUAGCAGUGAAAUGCGUAGAGAUGUGGAGGAAUACCGAUGGCGAAGGCAGCCCCCUGGGAUAACACUGACGCUCAUGCACGAAAGCGUGGGGAGCAAACAGG